rnacentral:rRNA from 1 species
AACGAACGCUGGCGGCAUGCCUAACACAUGCAAGUCGAACGAGACCUUCGGGUCUAGUGGCGCACGGGUGCGUAACGCGUGGGAACCUGCCCUUAGGUUCGGAAUAACUCCCCGAAAGGGGUGCUAAUACCGGAUAAUGUCUUCGGACCAAAGAUUUAUCGCCUUUGGAUGGGCCCGCGUUGGAUUAGCUAGUUGGUAGGGUAAAAGCCUACCACGGCGACGAUCCAUAGCUGGUCUGAGAGGAUGAUCAGCCACACUGGGACUGAGAAACGGCCCAGACUCCUACGGGAGGCAGCAGUGGGGAAUAUUGGAAAAUGGGCGAAAGCCUGAUCCAGCACUGACGGGUGAGUGAUGAAGGUCUUAGGGUUGUAAAGCGCUUUUACCCGGGAUGAUAAUGACAGUACCGGGAGAAUAAGCUCCGGCUAACUCCGUG